rnacentral:lncRNA from 1 species
ACUCCCAGAGUUAUUUGCAAAGUUAGAAUAUCUAAAUUAUGAUUGUCACAGUAGUCAUUAAGUUCAUGCCUUGUCAAGCACGCUAUCCAACGUUGCUGUAGUACGUACUCGGCCUUUUCGUUUACUAGAGCAUUAAACGUAGCUGCAAUAAGAGUUAAAAGAAUAAAUGAAAAUUUGAAAGGAAUGAACAAAACAAGAAAAAACAUAAUAUGAAUACAACAAUACAAAUAAUGGAUUUUACAACCCCAAUAAAUUAUUUAAUGCCUUUAAUUCCUUUAUAAUAUGUAAAACAACCCAAUAAUAUCAUAGACUACAACACCCUAUAUCACAAUUAUUCCUUACUCAAUAGCAUAACUAUAAGAAAAUAAAUCAAAUAAUCAAUGGAAAACAGAAUAAAAACAAAGCCUCAGUUAGUCCAUUAGAUUCAAAGAAAUUGCAGUUUCUGCCAAGGGAUUCUCCCUGAAAACAGGGUCUCAGCUCCACUGCACCUCGCUUAAUUGGAUUUCCUCAUCGGCAUCAAAACAAACUUAUUCAAGAAUUUUUUCCUUAAAUCAGAUAUACAAAAAUACAAUUUAAAACAAAAAACCAAAACAGUCGUCCUAAGGAUUAAUAGUGAGCAUUAAACUAUUACACCCAUUAUGCUUUAAUUGCUUAUGCGCUUUACUAGCAAUCUAAAUUAAACGAUCAGUUACAGAGUUACACUCAUAGAAUUCAAAAGGCACCCUAGAGAUCUAGAUUCACUAUAAAACUAUCGACAUCUCUUCAUAAAAAACAAAAAAACCCUCAAAAAUAAAGCAAAAUGUCUACUGAAAACAGUUUAUCUGUAAUAGAAUCUCUACCUCAUGAACUCCUUGCUGAAAUUCUUGCCCGGGUUGCUUCAUCUUCUGUUGAAGAUAUAAGCCACUGCUUAACAGUCUCACGGACGAUCUCUUCCGCCGUGCAAGAUGAUCACGUCAUCAAAUGUCUCAACCUCCGUCCACAGGCGAUGAAUCCCAUGCUAACGUUUCAUCGUUACCAGCAUCUUAUGGUGAAGGCUCUCAACAGCAACAAUCCGGCUGCUCAUUACACUGAAGGCAUCAAGCAGUUAUUCGCCUACAACAACAUGACUGUUGGGUUACUUCAUCUAAAAAAAUCAUCUGAAGGUUCCUAUGACAAUGGUACCUAUCUCUAUGGCAUCAUUGUUUCAUGCAUGGGAAACAUUGAAGAAGGAAAAACUAUUUUAGGUACCUUACGGUGGGAGGCAAGCAGACGUCGAACAAACCGUGCUUGGAGAGAAGUGAAGAGGUCACUGAGGUUUGUUUAUGUCAUUUUGAAGCCUGAGUACAGAGCCAGUUUGAAGAACAAUCAGCCACCGCUCACCUGCCACAAGAACGACAAGGACAACAUCUGUCCAAGCUGUUUCCACUACAAAAUGAUGCGGAGAUUUGUCGGAUUCGUUAGGCAAAAUAUCUAAGAAAGACAAAAUUGGUAUCAAGUGUGUAAAGAAGCUACGGGAUAACCACUAUCAACGUUGCGCACAUGCGAGACUCUUUAUUUCGAUUUAGCAUUUGCAUUUCUUUUCCAGCUUUUGAUUACAUUUCGAAUUAUGUUUAAGUUUUCUUUUUUUAAAAACACUUUCUCAUUUUUAAAAUCUCCUAAAGAAAAGACAUUAGAGAAAAAAAAAAAAGCAACCGUUUGACCUCCAUAACCCAGCUCAAUAACCAAAUCGAUUCAAUACAAAGCUAAACUUAACCAUCACAAAUCAGACCAUGCAAAGGUCAAAAGACCCAGCAAAAAAAAAAAAAAAAACUCAUACCGGACGAUGGAGAGAGAUCGUACUGGUCGGAGCGAGAUGUGUUCGGAUUGGAUCCAUCCCCACUAAAGAAAUAUCGGUGAUAAUGAACUCAACCCUAGCUCCGGCGAAAAUUCUCAGAUCGAUCCUCUCCUUCUCCUUCUCC